UCAUAAAACGUGUUAGUUGUUACUACAUUAUCCACAAUUAAUUGAUAACUUAGGCUAUGUACAUGACUUCAUUAUACAUCCUUCUAACCUCCCCAAACUCAAUCUUUUGUAAUGGCAUUUCUUUUGAUUCAUUUGAACUCAGUACAAAAAGUAAUUGAAUUUGUACCCCUGAAUUUUGUAGGUAAGUUUACAACAAAUGAAGCUCUAUGCCCAACAGGGCUGGAUAAUAUAGCAAUGGCUUAUGAUUUUUUGGACUCUUUAUGGGAGUAGCCAUGACAGUCUAACAUCUCAGGUGGUCACUUAAACCCAGCCACAAACAUUUAUGCAAACAGAACUACUCAUCCUUCAUUAUUGUCCAUCCAAAGGUCAUUGAUGGAAGACCAGGGACAAUGGUAAUUGGGUCAUUUCUUGUUGAUGUACCAGGUGGGAACACUAAGGAUGAACACAUGUUGAGGCCUUCUGGAAGCUAUUUGGGUGCUAUUUAGUGUUCGUUGUGCCAUUUCAAAUCUCUAUAUGCAUUGUUGCGAGUAGUAAUGAAAGCAUAUUGUUGUAUAGAUAUUAAUGCAUUUUUACAAAUAGCGUGAAACAAUAUAUCCAUGGUUUUAUGAUUAA